rnacentral:rRNA from 1 species
AACGAACGCUGGCGGCAUGCCUAACACAUGCCAGUCGAACGAGACCUUCGGGUCUAGUGGCGCACGGGUGCGUAACGCGUGGGAAUCUACCCUCAGGUUCGGAAUAACUCAGAGAAAUUUGAGCUAAUACCGGAUGAUGACGUAAGUCCAAAGAUUUAUCGCCUGAGGAUGAGCCCGCGUAGGAUUAGGUAGUUGGUGAGGUAAAGGCUCACCAAGCCGACGAUCCUUAGCUGGUCUGAGAGGAUGAUCAGCCACACUGGGACUGAGACACGGCCCAGACUCCUACGGGAGGCAGCAGUGGGGAAUAUUGGACAAUGGGCGAAAGCCUGAUCCAGCAAUGCCGCGUGAGUGAUGAAGGCCUUAGGGUUGUAAAGCUCUUUUACCCGGGAUGAUAAUGACAGUACCGGGAGAAUAAGCGCCGGCUAACUCCGUG